AAUUGUGUACUUAUCUUAUAUAGAAAAUGAUAACUGAGGCAUACAUUAACAUUCUAUAUGUUUAUCACCAACCACCCAUUUUGUUAGCCACCUGUUAUAUCAAUAAAAAUACUAUGCAAAAGUUACAAUUACUCAGAAUUGGUCAGAAGGCAUGUAUUAUUAUUAUUUGUAAAUAUUUUGAACAAAUAAGAAAACAAAAAUUAAGUCAAUUUUAAUAAUUUAGACGAAGAAGAAGCGGCAUUAUACACAUUUAAAAAGAUUAAAAAAAAAACCAGAACAACAAACGUCUAUCUAGUCGACGACCAUAAACUUUAUGGAAACAGAGCUGGCAAUUUGAAAUUUAUUGUAACCUUAUGUUCAUUAAGUACAGUUGCCAACGAACAAACAAUAAAUGCUUUAAAGGGUGUUUAAUGAAACAAUUAUUUUAUAUUUUUUUUAAUAUUGUAAUUAUAAUUUAUAAAAAAAAGGCUUCCUAAAAAGGUC
rnacentral:lncRNA from 1 species